rnacentral:rRNA from 1 species
CCUACGGGUGGCAGCAGUAGGGAAUAUUGCACAAUGGGGGAAACCCUGAUGCAGCAACGCCGCGUGGGUGAAGAAGUACUUCGGAUUGUAAAGCCCUGUCAGCAGGGAAGAUAAUGACGGUAUCUAACCAAUAAGCCCCGGCUAACUCCGUGCCAGCAGCCGCGGUAAUACGGAGGGGGCAAGCGUUAUCCGGAUUGACUGGGUGUAAAGGGAGCGUAGACGGCAAGGCAAGUCUGGAGUGAAAGCCCGUGGCUCAACCACGGGACUGCUUUGGAAACUGUGUUGCUGGAGUGCAGGAGGGGUAAGCGGAAUUCCUAGUGUAGGGGUAAAAUGCGUAGAUAUUAGGAGGAAUACCGGUGGCGAAGGCGGCUUACUGGACCGUAACUGACGUUGAGGCUCGAAGGCGUGGGGAGCAAACAGGAUUAGAUACCCGAGUAGUC